GAUGAACGCUGGCGGCGUGCUUAACACAUGCAAGUCGAACGAUGAAGCCCAGCUUGCUGGGUGGUUUAGUGGCGAACGGGUGAGUAACACGUGAGUACCCUGCCCUUAACUCUGGGAUAAGCCUGGGAAACUGGGUCUAAUACCGGAUAGGAGCGUCCACCGCAUGUUGGGUGUUGGAAAGAUUUAUCGGUUUUGGAUGGACUCGCGGCCUAUCAGCUUUUUUGUGAGGUAAUGGCUCACCAAGGCGCCGACGGGUAGCCGGCCUGAGAGGGUGACCGGCCACACUGGGACUGAGACACGGCCCAGACUCCUACGGGAGGCAGCAGUGGGGAAUAUUGCACAAUGGGCGCAAGCCUGAUGCAGCGACGCCGCGUGAGGGAUGACGGCCUUCGGGUUGUAAACCGCUUUCAGUAGGGAAGAAGCGAAAGUGACGGUACCUGCAGAAGAAGCACCGGCUAACUACGUG
rnacentral:rRNA from 1 species